rnacentral:rRNA from 1 species
UGCGUAGGUGGUUAGAUAAGUCUUAGGUGUAAGUGCAGAGCUUAACUCUGUGAUGCUAAAGAAACUGUCUGACUUGAGUGUGGUAGAGGCAAGUGGAAUUCCAUGUGUAGCGGUAAAAUGCGUAAAUAUAUGGAGGAACACCAGUGGCGAAGGCGGCUUGCUGGGCCAUAACUGACACUGAGGCACGAAAGCGUGGGGAGCAAACAGGAUUAGAUACCCUGGUAGUCC